GUAGGUGAACCUGCGGAAGGAUCAUUACCAUAAACAAGGAGGGAUAGUGUGGCACUGUACAUCUCGUGCUUUGCCUCCCUUCCCUACCUCAACCCCUGAUUUUUGCGUACCUAUUGUUUCCUUGGUGGGCUUGCCUGCCAAUAGGACUAUAACAAACCCUUUGUAAUUGCAGUCAGCGUCAGUAAAAUAUAAAAGUUUACAACUUUCAACAACGGAUCUCUUGGUUCUGGCAUCGAUGAAGAACGCAGCA
rnacentral:misc_RNA from 1 species